UGCUGCCCGGACACCUUCUCCCUUCUGCCACCAUGCAGAACAAAUAGUAAUCUCAGUUGCUGCACAGGCACUCGAGAUGUCAUAGAAGCCACACAGCCAUUCUGGCAAGGGUGGGGUCAAAGAAACUAUUUUGUAGUCAUGAAGGACUGAGUUUUCUCUCCCCUGACAACCUCCUUCAGCUUCAAAUAUGAGAUCUACCUGAUAUCCCUACGAGGAAGCAAGGGAUUAACAAGGAGUGAGACGUUUUGGGAGGGCAGGGCUUGUUUAACAGGAGAUCAGUACUCCUCUUCCAUCUAUGUUGCCCUGAAAGAACUCUGCACUCAUACACAGAUACCCAGGGAGGGAUGAAAGCAAAUUCCAGUGCUGAGCACCAGACUCAUGGAGAGCAAGUGCAGCAAGGAAAUGGUUCUGUGCGCUCUGCAGCUAAGAAAGCCACAUUUCCUACAGGCUGGAUCUCAUUAUUAACUUCAGCUCUCAAAUGUGCUUCUUGCAUAUUUUCUACCUUUAUAAACACUCUUAUGGAAUAGUAUGGCAU